rnacentral:lncRNA from 1 species
UCUUUCAUGGAUACUUUUGAGCAUUUGCUCUUAUGAUUUUGAUAAAAAUCCGACCAACCCUGAUUCAUUACAUGAUUCAAUUCUCUCAAAAUUAACAACAAGAAGAUAGAUUUAAAUUUUAUCUGAGCUGAGGUGGAAGUGAAGAUGGUGAUGAUGAGCAUGGGAAGAGGAGAAGAAGAAGAGUAGAAGAAACAAAAGAAGAAGAAGAAAAGAGGAUGAGAGGAAACAGGGGCAAGAGAGAAACAGCACAUGGGAGAGAGAGAGAGAGCGCACGAUGUGGAAGAGAAAAUGAGGGAAGUAAGGAGAGUGAUGGAAGGAGAGGAAGAGAGCACGACUCGGGACAUUGGGAGUUUCUGUUGCACGGAAUAGAGGAUAAAUCCUCUGUUCCUAUUUUAUCUAGUGACCACUUAAUAGGCAGGACAACUAGGGGUGGCAAAUGGGUCGAUUGGAUCAGAUACAGGUCAAAUCAAUAU